AGCUGUCAAACCAGACAUACUGAUGUGAGGGACGGAUAUAUCCCUCAUAGGUUCCAGGUGGCUAUACCUCUCCUAUGACCUUCCCUAAUCAGUCAACAUCACUGUGACCAACUUUUCAAUACCAGGCCGUUACAUUGCCUUCUUCUCAUCUAAUCCCUUUAUGUGGAAAAAGCCGAUUGGUUCUAUUGAGAUAAGUCUCUUUGUCCUAUUAGACAGGUACUUAUUCUAUCUAUUUUUAUAUUGAUACUAAUUAAGAGACAUAUUUGGAUAUCUGUUUGUGUAUACAUAUCCUUUGUCUUUCACAUAUUCAUCCACUAGGUGGCUUACUUUGGCUGUGGUUCCCUUGAUGUUUUUCUGGUUCUAAUUGAAGCUAUAGCCCUUCCUGUACGAGUUGCUGUCUGCACAUGCUGGUUUUCUUUUGAUAUUUUUACCUUCGGCAUUGUCUGUUAACGCUCUUGAGGAAGCUCAAAAGAGUGAAACAUGUAGAGCUAAUCAACUAAUCAAUGCCUUAUCUUGAUUCCGUGUUAUGUAUUUAAUCAAGAUUCAGACUUAUUUAUCAUGUUUAUGUCAUAUAAUUGCCGUAUUAAAAUGCUUUUUCUAUUUUCAUAA